rnacentral:rRNA from 1 species
UACGUAGGGCGCAAGCGUUGUCCGGAAUUAUUGGGCGUAAAGAGCUCGUAGGCGGUUUGUCGCGUCUGCUGUGAAAACCUAAGGCUCAACCUUGGGCUUGCAGUGGGUACGGGCAGACUAGAGUGCGGUAGGGGUGACUGGAAUUCCUGGUGUAGCGGUGGAAUGCGCAGAUAUCAGGAGGAACACCGAUGGCGAAGGCAGGUCACUGGGCAUUAACCGACGCUGAGGAGCGAAAGCAUGGGGAGCGAACAGG